rnacentral:rRNA from 1 species
AUUGAACGCUGGCGGAAUGCUUUACACAUGCAGGUCGAACGGCAGCACGGCCUUCGGUCUGGUGGCGAGUGGCGAACGGGUGAGUAAGGUAUCGGAACGUGCCCAGGCGUGGGGGAUAACGUAGUGAGAAUUACGCUAAUACCGCAUACGAUCUAUGGAUUAAAGCGGGGGAUCGCAAGACCUCGCGCGAUUGGAGCGGCAGAUAUCCGAUUAGGUAGUUGGUGGGGUAAAGGCCCACCAAGCCAACGAUCUGUAGCUGGUCUGAGAGGACGACCAGCCACACUGGAACUGAGACACGGUCCAGACUCCUACGGGAGGCAGCAGUGGGGAAUUUUGGACAAUGGGCGAAAGCCUGAUCCAGCCAUUCCGCGUGCAGGAUGAAGGCCCUCGGGUUGUAAACUGCUUUUGUACAGAACGAAAAGGUUUCUACUAAUACUAGGAGCUCAUGACGGUACUGUAAGAAUAAGCACCGGCUAACUACGUGCCAGCCGCCGCGGUAA